CGCUAUCACUCCUACGGGAGGCAGCAGUGGGGAAUAUUGCACAAUGGGCGCAAGCCUGAUGCAGCCAUGCCGCGUGUAUGAAGAAGGCCUUCGGGUUGUAAAGUACUUUCAGCAGUGAGGAAGCGGGUACGUUAAUAGCGUGCUUGUUUGACGUUACCUACAGAAGAAGCACCGGCUAACUCCGUGCCAGCAGCCGCGGUAAUACGGAGGGUGCGAGCGUUUAAUCGGAAUUACUGGGCGUAAAGCGCAUGCAGGCGGCCUGUUAAGUCAGAUGUGAAAGCCCGGGGCUUAACCUCGGAAUUGCAUUUGAAACUGGCAGGCUAGAGUCUUGUAGAGGGGGUAGAAUUUCAGGUGUAGCGGUGAAAUGCGUAGAGAUCUGAAGGAAUACCAGUGGCGAAGGCGGCCCCCUGGACAAAGACUGACGCUCAGAUGCGAAAGCGUGGGGAGCAAACAGGAUUAGAUACCCUGGUAG
rnacentral:rRNA from 1 species